rnacentral:misc_RNA from 1 species
GCAAACUUGGUCAUUUAGAGGAAGUAAAAGUCGUAACAAGGUUUCCGUAGGUGAACCUGCGGAAGGAUCAUUAAUGAAUAGCCAAAGAGAAAGAUUUGAUGCUGACUCUUGUUAAAGAGUAUGUGCACGUCUUUCUUAAUGCAUUCAAAAUCCCCUUAUACAUUUGUGCACAUUUGUAGACAUGAGUAUUAACUCUGUCUAUGUUUUUCUUUGAAACACUUUGAAAACGUUAUUGUUUUUGAUAAAUGUAUUUUAAUACAACUUUCAACAACGGAUCUCUUGGCUCUCGCAUCGAUGAAGAACGCAGC